rnacentral:rRNA from 1 species
GCUUGUCUCAAAGAUUAAGCCAUGCAUGUGUAAGUAUAAAUAACUCUAUACUAUGAAACUGCGAAUGGCUCAUUAUAUCAGUUAUAGUUUAUUUGAUAAUACUUUACUACUAGGAUAACCGUAGUAAUUCUAGAGCUAAUACUUGCGUAAAAACCUGACUCACGGAGAGAUGCUUUUAUUAGAUCAAAACCAAACGGCUUCGGCCGUCUCAUUGGUGACUCUGAAUAACUUUGGGCUGAUCGUAUGGCCUUGUGCCGACGACGUUUCCUUCGAAGGUGUGCCCUAUCAACUGUCGACUGUGAUAUAGACGCUCACAGUGGUUUUGACGGGUAACGGGGAAUCAGGGUUCGAUUCCGGAGAGGGAGCCUUAAAAACGGCUACCACAUCCAAGGAAGGCAGCAGG